rnacentral:tRNA from 1 species
AUUUAUAUAGUUAAAAAAUAACGUAUCAUUUUCAGUGACAAAUUAAGGGUUCCUUUAUAAAUA